rnacentral:rRNA from 1 species
CCUACGGGCGGCAGCAGUGGGGAAUAUUGCACAAUGGGGGAAACCCUGAUGCAGCGAAGCCGCGUGAGUGAUGAAGUAUUUCGGUAUGUAAAGCUCUAUCAGCAGGGAAGAAGAAAGACGGUACCUGACUAAGAAGCGCCGGCUAACUACGUGCCAGCAGGCGCGGUAAUACGGAGGGGGCAGGCGUUAUCCGGAUUUACUGGGUGUAAAGGGAGCGUAGACGGCUGUGCAAGUCUGAAGUGAAAGCCCAGGGCUCAACCCUGGGACUGCUGUGGAAACUGGGGGGCUAGAGUGCUGGAGAGGUAAGUGGAAUUCCUAGUGUAGCGGUGAAAUGCGUAGAUAUUAGGAGGAACACCAGUGGCGAAGGCAGCUUACUGGACAGUAACUGACGUUGAGGCUCGAAAGCGUGGGGAGCGAACAGGAUUAGAUACCCCAGUAGUC